ensembl:misc_RNA Y_RNA Y RNA
GGCUGGCCCAAGUGCAGUGCUGUUUACAGCUAAUUGAUUACAACCAGUUACAGAUUUCUUCCUUCUCCAUUCCCACUGCUUCCCUUGAUUAGUCCUAA